UGUGAAAGCCCACGGCUCAACCGUGGAGGGUCAUUGGAAACUGGGAGACUUGAGUGCAGAAGAGGAAAGUGGAAUUCCAUGUGUAGCGGUGAAAUGCGUAGAGAUAUGGAGGAACACCAGUGGCGAAGGCGACUUUCUGGUCUGUAACUGACACUGAGGCGCGAAAGCGUGGGGAGCAAACAGGAUUAGAUACCCUGGUAGUCCACGCCGUAAACGAUGAGUGCUAAGUGUUAGAGGGUUUCCGCCCUUUAGUGCUGAAGUUAACGCAUUAAGCACUCCGCCUGGGGAGUACGGCCGCAAGGCUGAAACUCAAAGGAAUUGACGG
rnacentral:rRNA from 1 species